AUCUAUGGCCAUCCCAUCCUGACCGUACCCAAUCUUGUCUGAUCUCGAGAGCUAAACAGGGUCCCGGUUAGUACUUGGAUGGGAGAACACCUAGGAAGACCAGGUGCUGUAGGCG
rnacentral:rRNA from 1 species